rnacentral:rRNA from 1 species
UACGUAGGGCGCAAGCGUUGUCCGGAAUUAUUGGGCGUAAAGAGCGUGUAGGCGGCCAGAUAAGUCCGCUGUGAAAUCUCGAGGCUCAACUUCGAGCUGUCGGUGGAAACUAUCUGGCUAGAGUCCGGAAGAGGAGAAUGGAAUUCCUGGUGUAGCGGUGAAAUGCGCAGAUAUCAGGAGGAACACCGGUGGCGAAGGCGGGUCUCUGGGCCGAUACUGACGCUGAGGAGCGAAAGCGUGGGGUAGCAAACAGG